UGCCAGAGAGCAACUUCUAUCUCUAUCUGA
rnacentral:piRNA from 1 species